CAAAGAAAAAGAGGUUGGAAAGCAGUGAGCAGUGGGUUCUGUUUGGGGCGGUACUCAGACUCAACUGGUCCAACAAAUUGGACCUCACCCCACCGGAAAACCUACACACACCCCCGCUCUCUCUCAUUCCCCAAAACACUGCGUUUCAUCUCUCUGUGUUAAGCAUGUGGAACUAUUCAUAGCCUUCCCAAAAAUAACAGUACACGGAUAUAUAUCCACCCAAUAAAUAUGAACACUGAAAUGGUGGACAUGGAAGGGCAAAACCGGGAAAAAUGUGCAUUAGCACAUGCUGAACCUAAUAAGGGAGAAAGACAAAAUAUGAUUGAAAAUGAUACACAGAGAGAGGUAUCCAGUCAAGAUGAUGAUGGGGGUGCAAAACCACAUGUGGCCAUGGAAUUCGAAUCAGAAGAUGCUGCCAAGACCUUCUAUGAUCAAUAUGCCAGGCGUGUGGGUUUUAGCACCCACGUAGGUCAGUUCAGCCGUACUAAGCCUGAUGGGCCAAUCAUUUCUUGGGAUUUUGCAUGUUCUAGGGAGGUUUUUAAAAGAAAGAAUGUUGAAAGCUGCAAUGCAAUGCUUAGGAUAGAGAGAAAGGAUUCAGACAAUUGGGUUGUGACAAAAUUUGUGGAGGACCAUAACCAUUCUACAAUCACUCCCAGCAAGGUCCAUUACCUUCGACCCCGUAGGCAUUUUGCUGGUACUACAAAAAGUGUGGCCGAACCAUAUGAUGCUCCAAGUGAUAUCUAUGUUUCCAUUGAUGGAAAUCAUGUAUCUUAUGAACCAAUUCGUGGAGUUGGAAAUGCCUCCCCUCUAGAGCCAAAUCUCCCAGCUAGAAGUAUUGGGCCCGCCAAUUAUGUUAGACCUACCCGAAAAAGAACCCUUGGAAGAGAUGCUCAGAAUCUCUUGAAUUAUUUCAAGAAGAUGCAGGCUGAGAACCCUGGCUUCUAUUAUGCAAUCCAACUUGAUGAUGAUAACCGUAUGACUAAUGUUUUUUGGGCUGAUGCAAGAUCAAGGACAGCUUAUAAUUACUUUGGUGAUGCAGUCAUCUUUGACACAAUGUAUAGACCAAAUCAGUUUCAGGUUCCAUUUGCUCCUUUCACUGGGGUUAAUCAUCAUGGUCAGAUGGUAUUAUUUGGCUGUGCAUUACUUCUGGACGAGUCCGAGUCUUCCUUUACGUGGCUUUUCAAGACAUGGCUAUCUGCAAUGAAUGAUUGCCCUCCUGUUUCUAUAACCACAGACCAAGACAGAGCCAUACAGGUAGCUGUUGCACAUGUGUUCCCAGAAACUCGCCACUGCAUUUGCAAGUGGCACAUCUUGAGAGAAGGCCAAGAGAGGUUGGCUCACAUAUACCUUGCUCAUCCUUCCUUCUACGGAGAGCUGUACAGCUGUAUCAACUUUUCGGAGACAAUUGAGGAUUUUGAAUCUUCAUGGGCCUCUCUCCUUGAUAGAUAUGAUCUACAGAAAAAUGAGUGGCUCCAAGCAGUAUAUAAUGCUCGCAGGCAGUGGGCCCCAGUUUAUUUUCGGGGCACUUUCUUUGCUGCUAUUUCUUCAAACCAAGGGGUUAGCUCCUUUUUUGAUGGUUAUGUGAAUCAACAGACCACCAUACCAGUGUUUUUUAAGCAGUAUGAAAGGGCUUUAGAAAAUUCAUUGGAAAAGGAAAUAGAAGCAGAUUAUGACACAAUUUGUACUAACCCAGUACUGAAAACACCAUCACCAAUGGAACAACAGGCAGCAAACCUCUAUACCAAAAAGGUUUUUGCAAAGUUUCAAGAGGAAUUAGUUGAAACUUUUGUUUAUACUGCAAAUAAGGUCGAGGAUGAUGGGGUGGCCAGUAAAUACAGGGUUGCUAAAUAUGAACUUGAUCACAAAGCGUACAUGGUUACAUUGAAUGUUUCUGAGAUGAAAGCAAGUUGCAGUUGUCAAAUGUUUGAGUACUCGGGCAUUCUCUGUAGACAUAUACUGACAGUAUUUACUGUAACUAAUGUUCUUACUCUUCCAUUCCAUUACAUUUUGAAGAGAUGGACAAGGAAUGCAAAGACUGGGGUUGGAUCAGAUGAACAAGAAUUAGAUCAACAUGGUAUUGAGUCUCUGACCGUGCGCUUCAACAAUCUCUGUCGAGAAGCCAUUAAAUAUGCAGAAGAAGGAGCUAUUGCUGUAGAUACCUACAAUGCAGCAAUGGGUGUUUUAAGAGAGGGUGGAAAGAAAAUUGCUGCUGUGAAGAAAGUUGUUGCUAAGAUUAUACCUCCCACCUCUCAGGGCAGCGGAAAUACUCAAGAAGACAGUAACAAGAAAUCCCCGGUUUCAGCUUCUGAAAUUGCACCAUCUUUGUGGCCUUGGCAAGAUGCAAUGCCCCAUCGCUUUAAUCUUAACGACAUUGGAGUUCCUGUCACUGAUUUGAAUCAGCCUAGCAUGGCGCCUGUGUCUAUUCAUCAUGAUGGUGGUCCCUCUGAUAACCCGGUGGUUCUCACUUGUUUUAAGUCCAUGACCUGGGUCAUUGAAAAUAAGAAUUCAACACCAGCUGGUAAAGUGGCUGUCAUCAACCUGAAGCUGCAAGAUUAUGGAAAAAGUCCUUUGGGGGAGACAGAGGUGCAGUUUAGGUUAACAAGGGUCACACUGGAGCCUAUGUUGAGAUCCAUGGCCUACAUCAGUCAGCAACUAUCAACUCCAGCUAAUAGGGUUGCUGUUAUCAAUCUUAAGCUCCAAGAUACUAAGACAACUUCUGGAGAAACUGAGGUGAAAUUUCAAGUUUCUAGAGAUACCCUAGGUUCCAUGUUGAGAUCAAUGGCUUUCAUCCGUCAGCAGCUUUGAAAAGUUGAUGUGGACUUGGAGAGGAUGAUUGGCAAUGUUAAGGAAAAUAAUGGACUCUAUUACUUCGAAAAUGGAGAUAACCUGUGUGGACAAGCUCAAAAGACUAGUCUCAAAUCAUUUUCUGUUUCUAGUGACAAUGAAAUAAUGUUGUGGCAUUAUAGGUUAUGCUAAGCUGGAUUCGGUUAGACUGCAUCAGGGGCUUUGGGGCUGAGUUAGCAAGAAUAAGAAGAAAAAUAAAGAAAAGAAAAGCAUGAAGUACUAUGCAUCUGAUGGCAAGUCAGCAAGCAAGAAUCACCACAUCACAACAUUUCCUUUAGCAAAGAGGAGACUCGAAUAAGAUCCACAUCACUUGAAAUGCAGCAGUAGCAAUAGAGGCAAUGAAAGUCGUGGGCUUUAAAGUAUAUAACCGGUUGUGUAUUAUGUUAAUUCUCCGUUGACACAUUUGGUGUAGUUGUAGUUAGGUAUCGCUGUUUUAUUCUAACGUCUUUUUUCCCCCUUCUUUUUUGGGUUUCUGGGCUAAUGACCCAAUGUUCUAAUGUAAGCAAUUGUUGGUAACUUGUUUCUGUACAUGUGAGUUGUGACAGCCCAGAUAUUGAAUCAAGGAUGAAUUCAGAGAAUUUAUAUUUCAGUUUAGAGGAUGUAGUGAGGUUUUCUUUUGUAUGGGUAUUGGGUAUAGUGCUAGGUUGUUGCCCACUUCAAUCCUCCCCACCUGGACUCUGAUGAUGCAUAUCUUGUAUUGUAUGAGUAUUACCCCAAAAACUCCUAGACUUAUUGAAUUAUUCUCAAUAAUUUUAGUAAAAGAUUCAUUCCUUUCUUGUCA